GACGGAGGGUGCAAGCGUUGUUCGGAAUUACUGGGCGUAAAGCGCGUGCAGGUGGCCUUUUAAGUCCUUUGUGAAAUUCCGGAGCUCAACUCCGGAUGUGCAUAGGAUACUGGAAGGCUAGAGACUGGUAGAGGCGAGCGGAAUUCCUGGUGUAGCGGUGGAAUGCGUAGAUAUCAGGAAGAACACCGAUGGCGAAGGCAGCCUUCUGGGCCAACACUGACGCUCAUGCACGAAAGCGUGGGGAGCAAACAGG
rnacentral:rRNA from 1 species